rnacentral:RNase_P_RNA from 1 species
UAAGUAGGAUAAAUGGUCGCGGCUGGCCAGACGAAAGAGGCCAGGUGAGGAAAGUCCGGGCUUCACAGGGCAGGAUGCCGGAUAACGUCCGGUGGAGGCGACUCUAAGGAAAGUGCAACAGAAAUGAACCGCCAGCUAAGGCUGGUAAGGGUGGAAGGGCAGUGUAAGAGACUACCGCCUCCCCGGUAACGGGGAGGGCACAUGUAAACCCCAUCCGAAGCAAGACCGCAAGGAAGCGUAUGGCGGCCCGUCAGCUUCAGGUAGGUCGCUGGAAUCUGCCGGCAACGGCAGAUCUGGAUAGAUGACCAUUCACGACAUAACCCGGCUUAUCGUCCUGCUUACCAU